ACUGCGGCUGCGCCGCUUACCCGCACACAGACGGUUGGCAGAGGAAGAAAGCCUUGUCACACUAAAGGAGAGACAGCGGAUGUUCUGAACAGUCCUGUCGUGAAACGUUAGACAACGUGGACGAAACAGGCACAUUCCUAAGCAUCACACAUUACUGAAACUCAGUCAAGAAGAAAUAGAAAAUCUGAAUACAUCCAUGGCAAGCACAGAAACUGAACUAGGGGAUUCGAAAUCUUCCCACAAAGAAAAGCCUAGGCCCAACUGGCCUCUAUGGCUCACACCCCUUUAUUAACUGAAGCUGACUUAACCCGAACUAUCUGAAGCUGACUCAACCCGAACUAUCCGAGAUCACACGUAAAUGUUUUCCUUCUGAUCUCAACUUUUCUCCUUAUCGUGGGGCAUGGAAAGGAGGAGAUCGCAGCAGGGAAGUUUUUGUUCUUGUUCACAUGCUAACAAUGGUAAGCUUCUUAAAAGUGAAUCACAGUAGCAUCACAGAGUUUGGACAGGUGAUGUAACUAGGAGCUACGAAAAUUGAGUGCCAUAAAAGAAUCAUCUUUAAAUACUGAAGUGCUUCUGUAUGCUUGAAUUAUACAGCAUUUCCUGUUUCAAAGCAGUUUCACACAAUCUCAUUUAACACUUUUAAAGUCAUAGUAGUUGAACCGAGUAUAUCGCACCCCUGUUACGGCUUUUUCUUGAUUAUAGGACAAAAUGAAAAGAACUUUUAUGAUCUGGCUCCAAUUAUACUUUCAAGGUUCAAGUCUUCCCAUCCGGUAAGAUUUUUCUUCUUUACAAAAUGCCCCAACUGAGGCACUCAUGUACUAGGCACAGGAGACUACCUGUUUGAAAUAUCCCUUGCUUCUGCUGGAAAUGCUGUUCCCACACUGAACUCAUGUGCCAACUCUCAGCUCAAAAGUGCAUGUUUGUCUCUACCAGUGGACUAAGGACCAGCUCCUAGGAUGGGAGCAGUUUCUUACUCAUGUUUAUAAAGUGCUAUGCAGAAAAUAGCAGGGCUAUGGGAAAGAAAGAGACCAGGUUAGAAAAGUCAUUUGAAUCGGAUCUGCAUGAAAAAAGGCACUUUAGAUAAGACCUGAUAGCAAAGGGCUGUAAGAGGAGAAAAGGGCAAAUCAAAGGUACCGACAGAACAUAUUAAGCAUGGCCUAGGCUGAGCAAAGCCAAAUUUAAACAUAAUUUUGUAUGUUGAAGCACAUUAUUUUCCAAUAUGUUAAUGUGUAGCCAUUCUCACAUACAUAAUAAAGCUAAUGGAUUAUUUA
rnacentral:lncRNA from 1 species